UGUGGAAUUUUGCACAAUGGGGGAAACCCUGAUGCAGCGACGCCGCGUGAUUUAGAAGGCCUUCGGGUUGUAAAAAUCUUUUCUAUGGGAAGAAAAUGACAGUACCAUAGGAAUAAGGACCGGCUAAUUACGUGCCAGCAGCCGCGGUAAUACGUAAGGUCCGAGCGUUGUCCGGAAUCAUUGGGCGUAAAGGGUACGUAGGCGGGUAAGCAAGUUAGAAGUGAAAUCCUAUAGCUCAACUAUAGUAAGCUUUUAAAACUGCUCAUCUUGAGGUAUGGAAGGGAAAGUGGAAUUCCUAGUGUAGCGGUGAAAUGCGCAGAUAUUAGGAGGAAUACCGGUGGCGAAGGCGACUUUCUGGCCAUAACCUGACGCUGAGGUACGAAAGCGUGGGUAGCAAACAGG
rnacentral:rRNA from 1 species